rnacentral:rRNA from 1 species
AGCUUAACCGCAAGGAGGGCGCUUACCACGGUAGGAUUCGUGACUGGGGUGAAGUCGUAACAAGGUAGCCGUAUCGGAAGGUGCGGCUGGAUCACCUCCUUU